GUCCACGCCCUAAACGAUGGCAACUGGGUGUUGGGGAGCGAUUCCUCAGUACCGUAGCUAACGCGUGAAGUUGCCCGCCUGGGGAGUACGGCCGCAAGGUUAAACUCAAAGGAAUUGACGGGACCCGCACAAGCGGUGGAUGAUGUGGAUUAAUUCGAUGCAACGCGAACAACCUUACCUACCCUUGACAUGUCCGGAACCCUGCUGAGAGGUGGGGUGCCCGAAAGGGAAUCGGAACACAGGUGCUGCAUGGCUGUCGU
rnacentral:rRNA from 1 species